AGGAGUUGAUCCUGGCUCAGAGUGAACGCUGGCGGCAGGCCUAAUACAUGCAAGUCGAACGGCAGCACGGCAGAGCUUGCUCUGUGGGUGGCGAGUGGCGGACGGGUGAGGAAUACGUGGGAAUCUGCCCAGUCGUGGGGGAUAACGUAGGGAAACUUACGCUAAUACCGCAUGCGCCCUUCGGGGGAAAGCCGGGGAUCUUCGGACCUGGCGCGAUUGGAUGAGCCCACGUCGGAUUAGCUAGUUGGGGGGGUAAAGGCCCACCAAGGCGACGAUCCGUAGCUGGUCUGAGAGGAUGAUCAGCCACACUGGAACUGAGACACGGUCCAGACUCCUACGGGAGGCAGCAGUAGGGAAUAUUGGACAAUGGGCGCAAGCCUGAUCCAGCCAUGCCGCGUGUGUGAAGAAGGCCUUCGGGUUGUAAAGCACUUUUAUCCGGAAAGAAAAGCGCUGGGUUAAUACCCUGGUGUCCUGACGGUACCGGAAGAAUAAGCACCGGCUAACUUCGUGCCAGCAGCCGCGGUAAUACGAAGGGUGCAAGCGUUACUCGGAAUUACUGGGCGUAAAGCGUGCGUAGGUGGUUUGUUAAGUCUGAUGUGAAAGCCCUGGGCUCAACCUGGGAAUUGCAUUGGAUACUGGCGAGCUAGAGUGCGGUAGAGGGGUAGUGGAAUUC
rnacentral:rRNA from 1 species